CACGGAGUUAGCCGAUCCUUAUUCUCACGGUACAUUCAGCCCGGUAUACAUACCGGGGGUUAUUCCCGUGCAAAAGCAGUUUACAACCCGUAGGGCCGUCUUCCUGCACGCGGCAUGGCUGGUUCAGGGUUCCCCCAUUGACCAAUAUUCCUUACUGCUGCCUCCCGUAGGAGUCUGGUCCGUGUCUCAGUACCAGUGUGGGGGUUUCUCCUCUCAGAGCCCCUAGACAUCGUCGCCUUGGUGGGCCGUUACCCCGCCAACCAGCUAAUGUCACGCGAGCCCAUCCGUCCCCUAUGAAUAUUUAAAUGAAGGCCCAUGCGGACCUGCAUUCUCAUGCGGUAUUAAUCCGGAUUUCUCCGGGCUAUCCCCCUGGGACGGGCAGGUUGCUCACGCGUUACGCACCCGUGCGCCACUCUCACGGGGACCGAAGCCCCCGAUCCCGUUCGACUUGCAUGUAUUAGGCCUGCCGCUAGCGUUCAUCCUGAGCCAGGAUCAAACUC
rnacentral:rRNA from 1 species